rnacentral:pre_miRNA from 1 species
GAAACACCCUUAUGGGGCAGGACUUGCUUCAGUGGGGCUUUGGUGCUCACUGAGUCUUCCCCCUGAGUGUGUCUCU